UCCUACGGGGGGCAGCAGUGGGGGAUAUUGCACAAUGGGGGAAACCCUGAUGCAGCGACGCCGCGUGGGUGAAGAAGCGCCUCGGCGCGUGAAGCCCUGUCAGCAGGGAAGAAAAUGACGGUACCUGAAGAAGAAGCCCCGGCUAACUACGUGCCAGCAGCCGCGGUAAUACGUAGGGGGCAAGCGUUAUCCGGAUUUACUGGGUGUAAAGGGGGCGCAGACGGCGAUGCAAGCCAGGAGUGAAAGCCCGGGGCCCAACCCCGGGACUGCUCUUGGAACUGCGUGGCUAGAGUGCAGGAGGGGCG
rnacentral:rRNA from 1 species